rnacentral:rRNA from 1 species
ACGGAGGGAGCAAGCGUUACUCGGAAUUAUUAGGCGUAAAGGGCAGGUAGGUGGUCUCAUUUGUCUGGGGUGAAAGCCUUGAGCUUAACUCAAGAAGUGCCCCAGAAACGGUGAGACUAGAGUUCUGGAGAGGGUCGUGGAAUUCCCGGUGUAGCGGUGAAAUGCGUAGAGAUCGGGAGGAACACCAGAGGCGAAGGCGGCGUCCUGGACCAACACUGACACUGAGGAGCGAAAGCCAGGGGAGCAAACGGGA